rnacentral:sRNA from 1 species
GUACAACUUCCGGCUGUAAAGAUGGCGGCUUCCUAGAGAGUCGGCGGCUGAUUUAGAAGGAGGUUCAGGCUACGGUGAGCCGAAGCCACACAGGAGCCAUGGAAGUGCCAGAGCCCAGCAGCCCCACUGAAGAGGAGGAGGAGGAAGAGGAGCACUCGGCAGAGCCUCGGCCCCGCACUCGCUCCAAUCCUGAAGGGGCUGAGGACCGGGCAGUGGGGGCACAGGCCAGCGUGGGCAGCCGCAGCGAGGGUGAGGGUGAGGCCGCCAGUGCUGAUGAUGGGAGCCCCAACACUUCAGGAGCCGGCCCUAAGUCCUGGCAGGUGCCCCCGCCAGCCCCUGAGGUCCAAAUUCGGACACCAAGGGUCAACUGUCCAGAGAAAGUGAUUAUCUGCCUGGACCUGUCAGAGGAAAUGUCACUGCCAAAGCUGGAGUCGUUCAACGGCCAGCAGAAAACUGAGCUUCCGGUCACAGAGAACGUGCAGACGAUUCCCCCGCCAUAUGUGGUCCGCACCAUCCUUGUCUACAGCCGUCCACCCUGCCAGCCCCAGUUCUCCUUGACGGAGCCCAUGAAGGUGGGUGAGGCCUGGGAGAGGGAGGGGUGCCUGCAGCCAUGAGGAUGGUGGUUAGACACCAGGAGGGACUUCCCAACCACAGUGGCUGGGGUGCCUAGAGGUAAGUUCCCAGAGUCUGAGGCAGAAAUGGGGGAGUUAUAGUCAUGGGGCAUAGGGUGACCCAAGCCCCAGAGGCUGGUGUUCUUUACUUCCCCCGCAGAAAAUGUUCCAGUGCCCAUAUUUCUUCUUUGACGUUGUUUACAUCCACAAUGGCACCGAGGAGAAGGAGGAGGAGAUGAGCUGGAAGGUGAGAGGCUGCAGCAGGUGUGAGUGGCAGGCGGGUGUGGACAGGAUGUCUUGGAACACAGCUGCGCUGGGUCUGGGGGUCUCUACCUCCAUUUGAUACCCCUGGAACCCUGGCCGGGGUAGGUCAUGGCAUUGGUCAUUGAACAGCCGUUUCCCAGUUGUCUGCUGUGACUGAUGGGGUGGCAGCCAUUGGGACAAUGGUCCAGGCAACAUGUUGCGUCCUGCCUCCCCCAUCUCCAAUGUUCCCUGCGUUCCUUUCUUUCCUGCUUGCUUUCUUGCUUUAUUUUCUUUCUUUCUUUUUUUUUUUGAGACAGAGUCUCCCUCUGUCUCCCAGGCUGGAGUGCAGUGGCGUGAUCUCGGCUCACUGCAACCUCUGCCUCCCGGGUUCAAGCAAUUCUCCUGCGUCAGCCUCCCCAGUAGCUGGGAUUACAGGUACCUGCCAUCAUACCAGGUUAAUUUUUGUAUUUUUAGUAGAGACGGGGUUUCACCAUGUUGGCCAGGCUGGUCUUGAACUCCUGACCUCAGGUGAUCUGCCUGCCUCAGCCUCCCAAAGCGCUGGGAUUACAGGUGUGAGCCACCACGACCAGCUCCCUCUUCCCUUUCUUCCUGCC